CAGCAUCAACCAUUACAUUUUGCUGGGUAAUUGCAACUGCAAGGAACUUCAAUCUCUCAUAGGUUCGUUGAACUUUGCCAUGCGCAUCAUCCCUCAAGGGCGUGCUUUCAUAUCCAGACUUGUCUGUCUUUUUCCACAUUUCCAACACGACAGCUAUAGACUGUCCUUGGAUGUGCACGCCACGACAGACCUUUACAUGUGGAAAGAAUUCUUGACCACCUGGAAUGGUAAAAGCUUGUACCUAC